AAAAUUUUAUAUACAAAACCGAAUCCCAUAUCCCCAUUCCUCUCCUCUCCCAAAAAAAAUUUCACAUCAUUCACCAGCCGCGACGAAAAGGAUAUCUCAUCUCCUCUUCGUCCGGUUGGUGAAUUAUAGUUUAUCCUCCAUUUAAAAAUCUUGGUAUAAUAUAAUAAACUCUUCUUAAACAAUCGCCACAAAGUAAGAAGAUAUGUGUGGAAGCUCAGCAGGAUGCAGAACCUUUCGGUGCCUCAUCUACAUCAUUGUGAUGACCAUAUGCAUUGCGUACCUCGCAGUGGUUACAACCAUAACCCUAAGAUAUGGGCCCAUCUCGCGCCCAUUGGACCUUCUGAUACCACACAUGGGUGUGGAGCUUGACAUGACGAACGAAGAGCGGCCAUGGCUAUCGUUCG
rnacentral:lncRNA from 1 species